AGUGAACGCUGGCGGUAGGUCUAACACAUGCAAGUCGAACGGCAGCACAGUAAGAGCUUGCUCUUACGGGUGGCGAGUGGCCGACGGGUGAGGAAUACAUCGGAAUCUACUUUUUCGUGGGGGAUAACGUAGGGAAACUUACGCUAAUACCGCAUACGACCUACGGGUGAAAGCAGGGGAUCUUCGGACCUUGCGCGAUUGAAUGAGCCGAUGUCGGAUUAGCUAGUUGGCGGGGUAAAGGCCCACCAAGGCGACGAUCCGCAGCUGGUCUGAGAGGAUGAUCAGCCACACUGGAACUGAGACACGGUCCAGACUCCUACGGGAGGCAGCAGUGGGGAAUAUUGGACAAUGGGCGCAAGCCUGAUCCAGCCAUACCGCGUGGGUGAAGAAGGCCUUCGGGUUGUAAAGCCCUUUUGUUGGGAAAGAAAAGCAGCAGGUUAAUACCCCGCUGUUCUGACGGUACCCAAAGAAUAAGCACCGGCUAACUUCGUG
rnacentral:rRNA from 1 species